ACAUUGUUUAUGUCCUUAGACGACUGAUUGGCAAUUAUAAAGGUAUUAUAAUCUUCAAGUAAAUCUGUAAAGUUUUAAUAUCAUUUUGUUACACUUAAUAUAAAACCCUUUUAAAUCGAUUGACACGUUACAUACACAGCAUUAAUUAGCCUUACCAUGUGUGUGUGUAUACAUGUAUGUGUGUACAUAUAGUUUUUAUGACUAACGUGUUAUCUAACUAGGUUAUACAUUUUCUAUAGAUUUUGUAUGAUUAAAUAUAUAGUUUAUUAUGAAUGUCCUUACAACAAUGGUCUUUGUUUGCUUGUAAUUUUUUAAACAAACAAUAGUAUCAACGGUUAUACGCUGUAUUAGAGGUCGGUCUUUUACAAACGUAUCAACCGUAUCGUAUACGUUGACGUAUCCGCGUCUGCAUUCAUCAAGUAUUUGUUGGUGUAUCCGUAUCGGCGUAUCGUAUAACACGUUUAUGAGGAAAGGAUAAAUUAAGUCAAGUAGGUCCCGAUGAAAAUAUUUUAUAAUGUAUUUAAUUUUAAUUGAGGUCGGGGUUAAGUCAUUAUUGUAAACAAAUCUGUUCGAUACGUAUACGUCGAUCCGUGCACGUAUCUUGAUAUGUGAAUAAUGCAAAUGCUCUAUUAAGACCAUGCUUCAUUUAAGGUUCAUUCGACCCUUCGGCUAAAAUGGCCGUAUUUUCACCUUAAAAUUUACUCUGAGUGCAGACAAACCUGUACAUCUGGAAAAGUUUUAAGGCAUAGCAUGCCUUAGAAAAAUACAUUUCAAAUAGGUUUUAUGUUUUAGAAAAAUAAAAUCUUAUCAGGAUUUUGCUGUGCACUUUUUUUCAUUCAUCCAGAAGGUACCAAAAUAAACUAAGUUGAGAAAGAGGUUUGAAAUCUUCCCCACAGGUAAUUUUUGAAAUGAGCUAUUUGGUUUGGCAUGGACAAUAGAUGGACAAACGAUACCUGACAAUAUUGGUGAUUUAAACUGUGUACCGGAGUGGACCAUAUCAAACAAAACUCAACUGUUUGUUAAUUUUAUCAUCUUCUGAACUGCAAAAUCAAGUUAAGUUAUGAAUUUUCUGAAUCAUACAAUGCAUUUGAAUAAUAGUUAUCUAGGGCAUGCUAUUCCUUGAAUCUUGUCUAGAUGCACAGGUUUGUCUGUACUCAGAUUAAAUUUUGAAGUGAAAAUGCAGCCAUUUUAGCCAAAAGAUCCACAUGAACCUUAAAAAAAAACUAAUUAGAAUCUCUUCACAACAAUCAAACAUACACUUUCAAUAUUUGUCAUAGUGGUGUUUUGUAAAAAAAAAUAUAAGGCGUUCUAGAAACAACUUUUACAUGCCCUUAAAAAGGAGCCAAUGUAGGGCAGGUACACAAAUAUCGUACACAAACCUUUAAUAAUCUAGUUAAAAAAAUAUUUCAAGAUCUUUCAUGAAUAAACAAAAAAAAAAAUCAAAUGUACUAAUUAUAUAUAUGUAAGGAACUUUGAAUAUUGUUCAUUUGCGAUUUUAUCAUAAAGGUUAUAGAAAAGUACUGAGUAUUACUCUAUUUGUCAAAUAACCAUUUGGUUCAACGUGAGCACAAGUUCAUACACUAGCAGACGAUUUUACCGUAUUCACUCCUAUCAUGUCAGUUAACUGUUCCAACUUUCCGUAAUAUCUUUAAAAGUCGGGUUACAUAUUCCACAAAAACUCGAUAUUUCCUAAUUGUUUUGUAAAUUUCUGCAUUAGAAAUUAAUCAGUCGCCCAUUUGCAUUAUUGAAAGUACAUAAAGUAAAGCUCGGGUUCACAUACUGUUUUUUGGUAUAUCUGCAGAUGCGGAUACGUAAACGUAUAUGAUACGGUUGAUACGUCUUUAAAUGACCGACCUCUAAUAUAAUAUAAAAAUGUUACAUAGACUAAUUCAUUUAAUCACAAUCUUUUUAUUUAAAUAUAUAUGAGAUAAUAAUGAAUAUGAUAGAACAUGAACAUUCAUGUUCAUAGCUGCCUGUCAAACUAUAAUAGCGCAAUAUUCCAGAAUCACAUGUCGACCGAAGUGCACUUGGUUUCAAUCGUGUAUGGUAAAGUACUAUAAGGCUGUUAUUGCUGGUCUAGUCCGUGAUUUGUGAACUGGUAUGCAUUUAUGGGGCUUGUCAGUUUUCUUUUUGAUCAAGCUCUCCAAAUGCUUGGGUUCUUUUACACCAUCAGCUUUCAAAUACUAGGCUUUUAGCGUUUCAAAUCAAGGUAAAUCCAGAAAAGCACUUUGGACGUAUGAAAUUUUUAAAGUUUGGUCUAUUUUUUUUAAAUAGUUAAUAAGGUUAACACAGAUUUUUAAGACAUAUUCUCAUAUGACCUUCUUCAAACGCUUUGAGUACACAACCGUUGUAAACUACGAGCAUAUAGUUUUGGCUCUUCCGAACAUACUCCCACGUCAUAUGCAUUUUUAUGAAUGAGCUUCACGACGUCAUUGGAUGAUGACGGAAUAAUAUAAGCAUUUUACGGGAAAAGAGUGCACACGCUGAAAUGUCUCGCCUUCUCUUAACAAAUCAUUUAUAUUAUGUUGAUAGUCCUAAAUAUAAAACUUUAUUACAACUGUCACACAAACUUAACAUUAACCAAGAAAACUAAACAUUGACCAAUUACCACGAAAAUGAGGUCAAGGUCAGAUGAACCAUGCCAGGCAGACAUGUACAGCUAACAAUUCUUCCAUACAACGACUAUAUUUGACCUAUUGCUUAUAGUUUAAAAAAACCCAGACCAAAACACAAAAACUUAACACUGAGCAAUGAACCGUGAAAAUGAGGUCAAGAUCAAACAAAACAUAUAUAUCAUAAAAUAUUUCCUUACACCAAAUAUAGUAGACCUAUUGCAUACAGUAUAAGAAAAACAGACCAAAACACAAAACACUUAACUAUGACCACUGAACCAUGAAAAUGAGGUCAAGGUCACAUGAUACCUGCCAGUUGGACAUGUACACCUUACAGUCCUUCCAUACACCGAAUAUACUAUCCUAUUGCUUAUAGUAUCUGUGAUAUGGAUUUGACCACCAAACUAAACCUUGUUCACUGAUCCAUGAAAUAAGGUCGAUGUCAAGUGAAAACAAAUACAGUUAUCCUAUUACUUAUAAAAAGAGACAAUUUAACAUAACAAAAAUCUUAACUUUUUUUCAAGUAUUCACUAAACCAUGAAAAUGAGGUCAAGGACAUUUGACAUGUGACUGACGGAAACUUCAUAACAUGAGACAUCCAUUUACAAAGUAUGAAGCAUCCAGGUCUUUCACCUUCUAAAAUAUAAAGCUUUUAAGAAAUAAGCUAACGCCGUCGCCGCCGCCGCCGGAUCACUUUCCCUAUGUCGAGCUUUCUACGACAAAAGUCGCAGGCUCGACAAAAACGAAGAUCAAUAUAUAAAAUAUUAAGCAUCAACAUGAUAAAGAGCCAAUCCGUAUUAAGAUCAGUAUACAUUUAAGCCUCCAUGAAUUAUUCAUUUAUUUAUGUCAUGUCCCACAAGGUUCCCUAUAUAUAGUUUUAGAAAGUUUAAUUAGUGACAGUUUAAACAAAAGAGUAAAUCUUGAAUAUGUUUUCCUUACCAUUGGUUACCUUAAGAUUUUACUAAAUUCUUAUAUAGAUACCAAGAUUUGGUUUUAAGUUUUUAAUACUAACAAGAUACAUAUUUUGUAAGCCAGGUGUACUUUUCCUCUUCGACACACAAGUGACGCUCCAAUUGUUCAGGCCAAAUCAAGUAAUCUGGUUUUAAAAUGCUUAAUAUUUGAAAUAAUUUGUAAGCAGUUGUAAAAACAAAUUUACCAUUGAACAAUAACACAAUUACGGGGAUGAAUAACUACAGAGGACUGUAUGAAUUGUUAUUGAAACUAACUACGAGUACUGCGAUGGGUUCUGUACGUCAUGUGUUUUACAUAAGUACUUGUCGUUUUUCAACUCAUAUUUAACUUAUUUGUUUAGGGUCUUUUCUUAUUGGGUUCUGUUACACCAUUGUCCUAUAUCUGGGAUUAUAUUAGCGCUCACAAACAUGUUUAACCCAGCCAGGAGUCUGUAAUUCAGUGGUUGGCGCGCAUUAUACCGUAUUUGUUAUAUUUGUUUUUCGUUCAUUGUCAGCUAACAGACCUUUGUGUGUCACAUGACUAAUGAUUGCUCAAAUCAAUUUUAUUUUGAUACUUGUCUAAUUGGCAAGCACACCACAUUUCUUUAUUUUAUAUAAAUUCAUAACAGAGCAUAUGUUUAACAGUUUGUUAUUUAAUGAGCUUAUAUCCCUAUAUCCCUUUUGCGGUUCUUGGUAUUACUUAGUAGUGUUGGUAUAUAGUUGGAAAUGUGAGAAUUAUCAGAUUAUUUUUUUUUAUCAUAAUUACGUUUUCUAGGUUCCUGAUUCACUCGUGGUCAUAUGUUCAACAUAUGGAAAUUGAAAGAUAUGUUUAUUUUGUAGUAUGGCUAGUAAUUGGACUGUGUGUGGCGUCUGUGAUUUCCGGAACAUACAAAAAACGUCAGUUGUGUGGUGUUCAGAAUGUGACGAGGGACUUUGUGACGAGUGUAAAGAACACCAUGGUGCCGUAAAAUCAUCCCGAAACCACAGCGUUAUUCCUGUCACUGAGUACCAGAAACUACCGUUGAACGUAUUAGCAAUCACACAAACAUGUCAAAAACACAAUGAACAAUAUCAAACAUUCUGUAAGAAACAUGACUGUCCGUGUUGUAGAAGAUGUGUUAUAGAGACGCACAAUGAGUGUAAAGAUUUAACUGCAAUAGACGACAUCAUAAAUGAUAUCAAAUCAUCAAAUGCAUUUCUUGAGUUAGAAAAACAGCUAUCGGAAUUGUUAGAGAAUGUCAAAAGAGUAAAACAUGAUCGUAUUAAAAAUUUGAAAGACCUUAAGGAAGAGAGAGACAUGAUUGCACGUGAUAUCGAUCAAACCCGUAAAAUGAUAAACGACUAUUUAGAUAAACUUCAAGAUAAUCUGAUACAGGAACUAGCUUUUACCGAAGAAAACGAAGGCAAGAAAAUUAAGCAGUUGCUGUCUUUGAUUGAAGAGAAUGAAAGAGAGAUUAUGGAUUUACAAGUUAAUCUAAUUAACAUUAAGAAAUAUGCAUCAGACCUUCAAGCAUUCUUAGCAUUGAAGCACAUUGAACAAGAGGUCUCUGACAAAGCGGAAUAUAUUCAGUUUGUUGCUAAAAGCGAGGAUAUGAAGACAAAAACCUUUUCUUUUGUAGUUAGCGAAAAGGUAAGGAAUUUUGUUGGGAUUGAACAUUUUGGGUCCGUUGUUGUUAAUUCAAAAUCGUGUGAAGUAGUCGUUACAGGAAACAAAAAACAACAAGCUCAGAUGAAUGUACCAAAUACAGUAUCCAAAAACAUUGAUAAUAUCAAACUUAAACACAAAAUUGAAAUUAAAUUGCAGAAAAGUCUUAUCAGAGGUUGUGCGAUUCUUCCAAAUGGAAAAAUGAUGUUUUGUUUCGAUAAUCUUGAGAAAAUAGAAGCAUUGAGUAGCAAUGGUACACAUGAUUUUGAAAUUCAACUGAAUACAAAACCAUGUGAUAUGGCGUACAUUGAAGCAGACAAUUCUAUCGUUGUUACUAGUGGUUUUAGUAAAAAGGUUAUUCACGUCGUAGACCUGAACAAUAAUAAAGUUAAGAAAUCUAUAAAUGUUACAUCAUACACACAUGGGAUAGCAAACUAUAACAGUGCUGUUGUUUGCUGU
rnacentral:lncRNA from 1 species